CACUCCUGUGCACUGGAGAAAACGAUUGCACGUGCAAAAGCUCAAGUUCUUUAUCUGUUAGCAACAAGGACGGCGUGCUAACAAAUUGGUCAGGAAGUCUCGCAAUCUCGGCUGCCUCAGUAAUCUCCCCAACCAGCUGGUCAUUGUGUUUUUCCAGCACUUCACAGCGUUCAAAUUCUGCGGCACAAGCUUUGGAGGGGCAAUCUCUGACGUGAAUGCCCGAAUUCCUGCUCAC
rnacentral:lncRNA from 1 species